rnacentral:misc_RNA from 1 species
CCAAGGAAGAAAAUCGCCCAUCAAUUGGUGAAAUUGUUAGGGGAAUGGAUAGUUAUUGCUUUGUUGAAAGAGUAAACACAGUACGCAGCCCCAGCAGCUGGACAAGCCUCAUAAGGAGUUUGAUUCUGAUUAGAAGGCAAAGAAGAUUGGCCAAGAAAUGGCAGGGAAAAUGUGAAAAUUAUAGUGAUAUUUCAAAAGGGAAGCUUUUGUUAAGGGAGAUUUUGGCUGAUAUCACACUGAAAUGAGUUAGAGAUCAUAAAGAACCGAGUCAGUGAACUCGGCUGGGUCAAAUGAUGAAUGAGGAGAUGAAGCUGAGGAGCACUCAGUCCAAACAGAAGACUCCCAAAUGUUGGUGGCUGAGGAAUAUCACAAAGAUUGGUUUGACGGCCCGUCAUUCUAUUAUGAUGUUACAGCUCUGCUUUAAUUUGUGCUGUCUUUUGCUUUGUGAUCAUAUUAUCCGUAUAGGAUAUUCUAUAUAUAAUUAAAUAAUUUUUUUAAUUAAUUUUUCUUUCUUUACUUUAUU